GAUGAACGCUGGCGGCGUGCCUAAUACAUGCAAGUCGAGCGAACAGACGAGGAGCUUGCUCCUCUGACGUUAGCGGCGGACGUGUGAGUAACACGUGUAUAACCUACCUAUAAGACUGGGAUAACUUCGGGAAACCGGAGCUAAUACCGGAUAAUAUAUUGAACCGCAUGGUUCAAUAGUGAAAGACGGUUUUGCUGUCACUUAUAGAUUGAUCCGCGCCGCAUUAGCUAGUUGGUAAGGUAACGGCUUACCAAGGCAACGAUGCGUAGCCGACCUGAGAGGGUGAUCGGCCACACUGGAACUGAGACACGGUCCAGACUCCUACGGGAGGCAGCAGUAGGGAAUCUUCCGCAAUGGGCGAAAGCCUGACGGAGCAACGCCGCGUGAGUGAUGAAGGUCUUCGGAUCGUAAAACUCUGUUAUUAGGGAAGAACAAAUGUGUAAGUAACUAUGCACGUCUUGACGGUACCUAAUCAGAAAGCCACGGCUAACUACGUG
rnacentral:rRNA from 1 species